GGAAUGGUACUAAAAACGGACACUGUUAAUCAUUUUUCUUGGGUGAAAAGUAGUUUUGGAGAGUUUCAAAAAGGAGAUUUAGUCUCCAUUAAAAUUGAAGACGGUUGGGCAGCAGUCGCGGUAGGCCAAUGGAUUCUUUCUUCUGCUGAGCUUGAAGUUCAAGGAAAACGCGGCGUAGCAGUGGAGCUUCUUCAUGUUUAUAAUGACUU